AUUAACUUAAAAUAUCAAUUGUUAAUAAUAAAUAAAAAAGUUCUAAUUAGAAAAUGAAAAAUAUCCACCAUUAAACAAUUGAAAUUUCUAGGCACACGUAAACAUCUCAAGCAUUUGAUGAACUCUACUGGGUGAUGUAGCUGCUGAUGACUAGUGAUGUCAUUCACUUGUUUGGAAGGGAAGGGAUUAUAAUUUGGCAGCUCUUGUGAAGUGGAGGUUGUUGUUGUGGCGGUGACGGUGGCUAUUGCGAUGGACAUGAGGGAAUUUCGAGGGGCUUUAGCCAAAAGUUGCAACAGUGCUUGUGUUUGUAGAGAAAUGGUUGGGAUUUCUUGUUCCAGAAGACACAUUGGUGAACCCUAAAAUGGCAACGUAACUAUUAGAAGAGAA
rnacentral:misc_RNA from 1 species